GCCAGACUCCUACGGGAGGCAGCAGUGGGGGAUAUUGCACAAUGGGGGGAACCCUGAUGCAGCGACGCCGCGUGGGUGAAGAAGUAUUUCGGUAUGUAAAGCCCUAUCGGCAGGGAAGAAUUUAGACGGUACCUGACUAAGAAGCCCCGGCUAACUACGUGCCAGCAGCCGCGGUAAUACGUAGGGGGCAAGCGUUAUCCGGAUUCACUGGGUGUAAAGGGAGCGUAGACGGCCAUGCAAGCCUGGAGUGAAAGCCCGGGGCCCAACCCCGGGACUGCUCUGGGAACUGUGCGGCUGGAGUGCGGGAGGGGCAGGCGGAAUUCCUGGUGUAGCGGUGAAAUGCGUAGAUAUCAGGAGGAACACCGGUGGCGAAGGCGGCCUGCUGGACUGCAACUGACGUUGAGGCCCGAAAGCGUGGGGAGCAAACAGGAUUAGAUACCCUUGUAA
rnacentral:rRNA from 1 species